GAACCGCGUGAAGGAUCAUUA
rnacentral:rRNA from 6 species